rnacentral:rRNA from 2 species
AAAGAUUAAGCCAUGCAUGUCUAAGUAUAAGCAAUUAUACCGCGAAACUGCGAAUGGCUCAUUAAAUCAGUUAUCGUUUAUUUGAUAGUACCUUACUACAUGGAUAACCGUGGUAAUUCUAGAGCUAAUACAUGCUGAAAAUCCCGACUUCGGAAGGGAUGUAUUUAUUAGAUUAAAAACCAAUGCCCUUCGGGGCUCUCUGGUGAUUCAUAAUAACUUCUCGAAUCGCACGGCCUUGCGCCGGCGAUGGUUCAUUCAAAUUUCUGCCCUAUCAACUUUCGACGGCUGGGUCUUGGCCAGCCGUGGUGA